rnacentral:rRNA from 1 species
AGCGAACGCUGGCGGCAGGCCUAACACACGCAAGUCGAGCGCCCCGCAAGGGGAGCGGCAGACGGGAGAGUAACACGUGGGAACGUACCCUUCGGUUCGGAACAACCCAGGGAAACUUGGGCUAAUACCGGAUACGUCCGAAAGGAGAAAGAUUUAUCGCCGAGGGAUCGGCCCGCGUCUGAUUAGCUAGUUGGUGGGGUAACGGCCCACCAAGGCGACGAUCAGUAGCUGGUCUGAGAGGAUGAUCAGCCUCACUGGGACUGAGACACGGCCCAGACGCCUACGGGAGGCAGCAGUGGGGAAUAUUGGACAAUGGGCGCAAGCCUGAUCCAGCCAUGCCGCGUGGGUGAUGAAGGCCCUAGGGUUGUAAAGCCCUUUCGGCGGGGAAGAUAAUGACGGUACCCGCAGAAGAAGCCCCGGCUAACUUCGUGCCAGCAGCCGCCGUAAAAC